UAACACGGGGGGAGCAAGCGUUGUUCGGAAUCACUGGGCGUAAAGGGCGUGUAGGCGGUUGAGUAAGUGGAAUGUGAAAUCCCUCGGCUUACCCGAGGACCUGCAUCCCAUACUGCUCGACUUGAGUACGGGAGAGGAUGAGGGAAUUCCUGGUGUAGCGGUGAAAUGCGUAGAUAUCAGGAGGAACACCGGUGGCGAAGGCGCUCAUCUGGCCCGAUACUGACGCUGAGGCGCGAAAGCUAGGGUAGCGAACGGGAUUAGAUACCCCGGUAGUCCUAGCCGUAAACGGUGAUCACUAGGUGUUGGAGGCAUCGACCCCUCCAGUGCCGCAGCUAACGCAUUAAGUGAUCCGCCUGGGGAGUACGGCCGCAAGGUUG
rnacentral:rRNA from 1 species